rnacentral:rRNA from 1 species
GACGUAGGAUGCAAGCGUUGUCCGGAAUUAUUGGGCGUAAAGAGUUCGUAGGCGGUUACUUAAGUCUGAUGUUAAAUACCGAGGCUCAACCUCGGCAUGGCAUUGGAAACUGGGUGGCUAGAGUGCGGUAGAGGUCUCGGGAAUUCCAGGUGUAGCGGUGAAAUGCGUAGAUAUCUGGAGGAGCACCGGUGGCGAAAGCGCGAGACUGGGCCGUAACUGACGCUGAGGAACGAAGGCCAGGGGAGCAAACGGG